rnacentral:rRNA from 1 species
AGUGAACGCUGGCGGUAGGCCUAACACAUGCAAGUCGAACGGCAGCACAGUAAGAGCUUGCUCUUACGGGUGGCGAGUGGCGGACGGGUGAGGAAUACAUCGGAAUCUACUUUUUCGUGGGGGGUAACGUAGGGAAACUUACGCUAAUACCGCAUACGACCUACGGGUGAAAGCAGGGGAUCUUCGGACCUUGCGCGAUUGAAUGAGCCGAUGUCGGAUUAGCUAGUUGGCGGGGUAAAGGCCCACCAAGGCGACGAUCCGUAGCUGGUCCGAGAGGAUGAUCAGCCACACUGGAACUGAGACACGGUCCAGACUCCUACGGGAGGCAGCAGUGGGGAAUAUUGGACAAUGGGCGCAAGCCUGAUCCAGCCAUACCGCGUGGGUGAAGAAGGCCUUCGGGUUGUAAAGCCCUUUUGUUGGGAAAGAAAAGCAGCAGGUUAAUACCCCGCUGUUCUGACGGUACCCAAAGAAUAAGCACCGGCUAACUUCGUG